GCUUCGAAAGUAAACAUGACAGUAUGGGCUUACUCAAUUCCACCUGUGGGCCAGAUAAUUCACUUUCUCGCAGCCCAGCCCAUUAACCCUAAUCGCCGUAUUGGUAAAACUAAAGCCAAAGCUUUCUCAUCCUCUCAAUAACCCUAAUCGCCAUCUCCCCCAUUUCUCUUUCCCGCAUGGCGAUUCUCUUCGUCUCCCCCAAAUCUUCCCGCAAAACGCCUCCGAUGAAAGGGCUGGAACUUCAAUUUUCUCCCUUAAAGCCUCCAUUGAAGAUCCCUACGGACCUUCCACAUCCCCCCUCCGCCUUAUAUCUAGAUCCCUAUUUAUACCCUUAUCUCUCUUACCUCAGAUCAUACCCUUAUCUCUCUUACCUCAGAUCGUUAGC
rnacentral:lncRNA from 1 species